rnacentral:rRNA from 1 species
UUGCCAGACUCCUACGGGAGGCAGCAGUGGGGAAUAUUGCACAAUGGGGGAAACCCUGAUGCAGCGACGCCGCGUGAGCGAUGAAGUAUUUCGGUCUGUAAAGCUCUAUCAGCAGGGAAGAAAAUGACGGUACCUGACUAAGAAGCCCCGGCUAACUACGUGCCAGCAGCCGCGGUAAUACGUAGGGGGCUAGCGUUAUCCGGAAUUACUGGGCGUAAAGGGUGCGUAGGUGGUUUCUUAAGUCAGAGGUGAAAGGCUACGGCUCAACCGUAGUAAGCCUUUGAAACUGGGAACUUGAGUGCAGGAGAGGAGAGUGGAAUUCCUAGUGUAGCGGUGAAAUGCGUAGAUAUUAGGAGGAACACCAGUUGCGAAGGCGGCUCUCUGGACUGUAACUGACACUGAGGCACGAAAGCGUGGGGAGCAAACAGGAUUAGAUACCCUAGUA